AUGCUAUCGGAGUCCGAUUUAGCCCUGCUAGUUGUGCGGGUUUAGACCCGCAGCGGAAAGCUCAGUAACACGUGGCCAGCUACCCUGUGGACGGGAAUACUCUCGGGAAACUGAGGCUAAUCCCCGAUAACGCUUUGCUCCUGGAAGGGGCAAAGCCGGAAACGCUCCGGCGCCACAGGAUGCGGCUGCGGUCGAUUAGGUAGACGGUGGGGUAACGGCCCACCGUGCCCAUAAUCGGUACGGGUUGUGAGAGCAAGAGCCCGGAGACGGAAUCUGAGACAAGAUUCCGGGCCCUACGGGGCGCAGCAGGCGCGAAACCUUUACACUGUACGAAAGUGCGAUAAGGGGACUCCGAGUGUGAAGGCAUAGAGCCUUCACUUUUGUACACCGUAAGGUGGUGCACGAAUAAGGACUGGGCAAGACCGGUGCCAGCCGCCGCGGUAAUACCGGCAGUCCGAGUGAUGGCCGAUCUUAUUGGGCCUAAAGCGUCCGUAGCUGGCUGAACAAGUCCGUUGGGAAAUCUGUCCGCUUAACGGGCAGGCGUCCAGCGGAAACUGUUCAGCUUGGGACCGGAAGACCUGAGGGGUACGUCUGGGGUAGGAGUGAAAUCCUGUAAUCCUGGACGGACCGCCGGUGGCGAAAGCGCCUCAGGAGAACGGAUCCGACAGUGAGGGACGAAAGCUAGGGUCUCGAACCGGAUUAGAUACCCGGGUAGUCCUAGCUGUAAACGAUGUCCGCUAGGUGUGGCGCAGGCUACGAGCCUGCGCUGUGCCGUAGGGAAGCCGAGAAGCGGACCGCCUGGGAAGUACGUCUGCAAGGAUGAAACUUAAAGGAAUUGGCGGGGGAGCACUACAACCGG
rnacentral:rRNA from 1 species